AUGCUUAACACAUGCAAGUCGAACGGAAACGAAAGUAGCUUGCUACUAGACGUCGAGCGGCGGACGGGUGAGUAAUGCUUAGGAAUCUACCGAGUAGUGGGGGAUAGCCAUUGGAAACGAUGAUUAAUACCGCAUAUAUCCUACGGGGGAAAGCAGGGGACCUUCGGGCCUUGCGCUAUUUGAUGAGCCUGAGUGAGAUUAGCUAGUUGGUAGGGUAAAGGCCUACCAAGGCGACGAUCUCUAGCUGGUCUGAGAGGAUGAUCAGCCACACUGGGACUGAGACACGGCCCAGACUCCUACGGGAGGCAGCAGUGGGGAAUAUUGCACAAUGGGCGAAAGCCUGAUGCAGCCAUGCCGCGUGUGUGAAGAAGGCCUUAGGGUUGUAAAGCACUUUCAGCGAGGAGGAAAGGUUAGUAGUUAAUAACUGCUAGCUGUGACGUUACUCGCAGAAGAAGCACCGGCUAAUUUAGUGCCAGCAGCCGCGGUAAUACUAAAGGUGCAAGCGUUAAUCGGAAUUACUGGGCGUAAAGCGCGCGUAGGUGGUUUGUUAAGUUGGAUGUGAAAGCCCAGGGCUCAACCUUGGAACUGCAUACAAAACUGACUCACUAGAGUACGAGAGAGGAUAGUGGAAUUUCCUGUGUAGCGGUGAAAUGCGUAGAGAUCGGAAGGAACACCAGUGG
rnacentral:rRNA from 1 species